CCGCCCUGUUCCUUUUCUGCUUCGCCCAGACCCCCGGCCUUCCCUGGCUUGGCUCCUGUAGUUCCCCCAGUGCCAGCCCCCUGCAGGCCGACACGGGGUCGGGCCAGUUCCCUACUAGCUCGUGGAACUGGGCGGCGGCGCACGAAGUAGACCCUCCAUAGACUUCGAAGUGGUGCCCACGUGGGCACCGAGCGCCCUACUGUAGCAGUGGACUCGAUCUUAGUCUGGCCUUUAACGUCGGAAGCUCUUUCACUCAGCACACAGAGAUUUGAACUUUGCCCCCAAAGAAAAUAAAACUGCAAUGCAAGUCUAAGGUGCCAGGAGGCCGUUACCUGGAAAUUUAGCUUUCAAUGACGUGUGCCUUGGGUGCAUGCCAACGUGGACCGCAGGGGUUCUCAGCCUUCACCUGCGGGGGAUCACCUGCAGGACUGGUUAGGACGCAGACCAGAGAUUCCAGUCUGCAGGCUCCACAGACUCAUGUCGUUCUGAUUGGGCUGAAUUGAAGAGCUGCCCAGCCUCUCCCCUGGCCCUGAGGCCCCUGAUCUAGAGGGACUAACUAGAGGGACGGCGUGGCAAUGGCAAAUGUACCCAAGACAGCAUGCCCGGAGGUUUAUCCAGGAAUAUUCAUCCAGAGGGAAAGAGCAAUGGACAAUGAGCAUGUUGGACCAGAUGGGCACGUGUCCAAGUGCACCCUAUGGAAUGUAUCAGCAUCGGCCUCGCCUGGAAGCCUGAUAGAAAUGCAGAUUCCCAGGCCCUGCCCAGGCCUGCUCUAUCCAGAUCUCUUGGUGGUGGAGCCCAGGGAUCUGCAUGUCACGAGCUUGCUCAGAGUAUCUGUGAACUGAGUUCAAUCAACAGCCCUCUACUCCAACGCUAGCCAGACCCUGGGGCCAUUGCCUCUUCCCCCACAUGCCCCUCCAUACUGUCAGCACCUCUGCAUUGUGGCCUUUCUGCCACCCCCAACUGACUUGGGGAUCCCAACCACCCACACCCAGGGGCCUGCACCAGACUGCAGAGUGUUGCCUGAGGUGACACAGUCCACAGUCAUCCUUUUCUCCUCUCCUUCCCAGUUAAUUCCAUUCUCCACGCCUCUCAUGGUGAUUCCUGAUCUUCACAGGCCCCAGAGCCUCUGACCCUGGUGUUCCCCCUGAGAAAAUGAGGCCAGGGUUUGUGAGCUGCCCAUGCCACACCUGUGCCUGCCUCAUCAAGUGGAGUCCCUUUAGCUCAGCUCUAGGGUCCCCCUUCUUGCUUCCUCAAAGAUUCUCCUCUCUCCCAAGUUCCUCCUCUUCUUCUCAACACUUCUCUCUUCCGGGGCUUCCUCCUUGACACGUCAAUGUUGUCUAGCUGUCUUCAUCAAUUUUCUUUAUUAUUUUAUUUGUAUAUAUUGUGUUUUAUUUUAAGACAGGGUCUUGCUCUGUCAGCCAGCCUGGAGUUCAGUGGUGCAGUCAUAGCUCACUGCAGCCGCGACCUCCUGGGCUCAAGCAAUCCUCCCACCUCAGCCUCUUGAGUAGCUGGGACAACAGGCAUGGGCCACUACAGCUGGCUAAUAUUUUCUUUUUACUUUUUAAGAGACAGGGUCUUACUAGUCAUCCUCGUCUUUAAGAACGAAGCAAAACAAGGGUCUCGAAGAGAUAUUUGUACCCACUGUUCAUAGCAGCAUUAUUAAAGAGUUAAUAUGUGGACCCAACCCAAGUGUGUUUCCAUUGAUGAAUAAUGAGCAGAACGGGGUCAUCCGUGCAGUGGGUAUUACCAGCCUUAGAAAGGAAAGGAAUCCCGACGCACCCUGCAACAUGGAUGAACCUAGAGGACAUUAAGCUCAGCGAAGUAAGCCAGUGACGAACAGACAAAUAUCAUUCCACUUCUAGGAGGCACUUAGUGUUGUCAAAGUCAAGGACAGACAGUAAAGCAGGGUUGCUGGGGCUGGGGGAGGGGAACGGGGUUGGUGUUCAGUGGGGACAGUGUUUCAGUUUUGCAAGAUGGAAGGAGCUCUGGUGUUGGUGGUGGUUGUCUGACAUUACGACAUUAUGAAUGUAUUUCAUACCACUGCGCUGUACACAUAAAAAGGAUUAAAAUGGCAAAUUUUAUGUUCUGUGUAUUUUGCCACCAUAAAAACAGUUGGGGGGGGGGGGGAAAGUAAAACAAAAAUGAAUCCCUAUGGCUCCUCCUUUCCUCUUUUCCCUCCAGAGUCCGUCUUCUUGAAAGAAUGGUUUCUUAGGCCCCACGUCCACAUCUUGCCCUCCCACAGUGUGGUUUUGAUUCUCAGAGGCCUCUGUGGACUCCAGAACCCUCUUGGUUUCUAAUCCCAGUGGCUCCUUUCAGACAACCUGUCUUCCCUGGGACACAUGAGUGUUGCUCAGCCUGCCCUAUCCAUGUCAGCACCAUCCCGCUUGCCCUCUGUGAUACGGCUUUCUUCCUCCAGCUAUAGCCAGUCAUUGGAGCCACCCACAGGAGUUUGCCCUUCCCCCGCCUCCUCAUGCAUACGCACUGACAAAGCGGCUCUCCAAGUCCAAGUGUGGCUUGGAGCUCCAGCAGCACCGAGACCUGUUGGACAUGCAACUCCUUGCCUCCCAGCCCUGACCUGCUGAAUCCAAAACCCUGGGGCUGAGCCAGCCAUGUGUGUUGCCAACCACGUUGGUUCCAGUCCAUUCUGGUUCACCCUGCAGUCGAGAACCACUGGGCUAAGCGAGCUCACCCUCGGAGCUCAGGAGUGACACUCAACAUCCUCCCGCUCUCAGGAUUCUCAGGCCUCUGCAGCUGAGCGGCCCUGGACGACUCUGGCCUGUGUCAGCCCCUGCAG
rnacentral:lncRNA from 1 species